rnacentral:lncRNA from 1 species
CCCGUGUAAAUAUAUAUUUUUCCUCCAGCAGCUGCAACCUUGCUCCCAUCCACCCCUAUAACACUCCUGGACACACACACACACCCCACGGAGAGAGUCUGCUGUGGCACCAAGGACCCUUUCCUGCACUCACACCGGCCACGAAAGCGGAGCCUAACGCCUGAAAUCCGUCUCCGUACAUCAAAGGGUGCAAUCAAAGGGGCUUCUCCAAUUCAACUUUCUCCUGGGCGAAAAAGGCAGCCGGGGAAGCGGUUCUGAGGAGGGGGCGACGAAGGCAAGGAAGACAAACCCCCCCAAUCUCUCUCCCUCCCUCUGUCUUUCUCUCUCUCUCUCACACACACACACAUCUCUCUCUCUCUACCUCUCUCUUUCUUCCUCCCUCCCCCUCUCCCUCCCUUUCUCUUUCUUUCUCUCUCUUUCUCUCUGCACUUUCUCUCUUUUUUCUUUCUUUCUCUCUCUCACACACAAACACUCACACACAACCCUCUCACUCACUGUCUAGCUAGCUCUCUCUCUCCCUCACUCUUUCUUUCUCUCUUUUUCACCCUCUCUCUCUCACUCUUUCUGCAUCCCUCUCUCUUUCUCUCUCCACUCUCUUUCUCCACUCUCUCUCUCUCCCUUUCUCUUUCUUUCUCCCUCCCUCCCUCUUUCCCUCCCUCCAUUUAUCUAUCUAUCUUUUCCCCUUCUUUCUCACUCACUUUCUCCUUCACUCCCUCCAUCCAUCUCUCUCCCUUUCUCUUUCUUUCUCACUCCCUCCAUUUAUCUAUCUAUCUUUUGUUUCCCUCUCUCUCUCUCACUCACUUUUUCCCUCCCUCCCUCCCUCCAUCUCUCUUUCUCUUUCUUUCUCUCUCCCUCCAUCCCUCCAUCCAUCCAUCUCUCUUUCUCUUUCUUUCUCUCCCUCUCUCCCUCUCUCCAUUUAUCUAUCUUUUCUUCCCCCCCUCUCUCUCUCACUUUUUCCGUCCCUCCCUCCCUCCCUCCCUCUCUCUUUCUCUUUCUUUCUCUCUCCCUCC